CCCCUAAGGCGAGGCCGAAAGGCGUAGUCGAUGGGAAACAGGUUAAUAUUCCUGUACUUGGUGUUACUGCGAAGGGGGGACGGAGAAGGCUAUGUUGGCCGGGCGACGGUUGUCCCGGUUUAAGCGUGUAGGCUGGUUUUCCAGGCAAAUCCGGAAAAUCAAGGCUGAGGCGUGAUGACGAGGCACUACGGUGCUGAAGCAACAAAUGCCCUGCUUCCAGGAAAAGCCUCUAAGCAUCAGGUAACAUCAAAUCGUACCCCAAACCGACACAGGUGGUCAGGUAGAGAAUACCAAGGCGCUUGAGAGAACUCGGGUGAAGGAACUAGGCAAAAUGGUGCCGUAACUUCGGGAGAAGGCACGCUGAUACGUAGGUGAAGUCCCUCGCGGAUGGAGCUGAAAUCAGUCGAAGAUACCAGCUGGCUGCAACUGUUUAUUAAAAACACAGCACUGUGCAAACACGAAAGUGGACGUAUACGGUGUGACGCCUGCCCGGUGCCGGAAGGUUAAUUGAUGGGGUUAGCGGUAACGCGAAGCUCUUGAUCGAAGCCCCGGUAAACGGCGGCCGUAACUAUAACGGUCCUAAGGUAGCGAAAUUCCUUGUCGGGUAAGUUCCGACCUGCACGAAUGGCGUAAUGAUGGCCAGGCUGUCUCCACCCGAGACUCAGUGAAAUUGAACUCGCUGUGAAGAUGCAGUGUACCCGCGGCAAGACGGAAAGACCCCGUGAACCUUUACUAUAGCUUGACACUGAACAUUGAGCCUUGAUGUGUAGGAUAGGUGGGAGGCUUUGAAGUGUGGACGCCAGUCUGCAUGGAGCCGACCUUGAAAUACCACCCUUUAAUGUUUGAUGUUCUAACGUUGGCCCCUAAUCGGGGUUGCGGACAGUGUCUGGUGGGUAGUUUGACUGGGGCGGUCUCCUCCUAAAGAGUAACGGAGGAGCACGAAGGUUGGCUAAUCCUGGUCGGACAUCAGGAGGUUAGUGCAAUGGCAUAAGCCAGCUUGACUGCGAGCGUGACGGCGCGAGCAGGUGCGAAAGCAGGUCAUAGUGAUCCGGUGGUUCUGAAUGGAAGGGCCAUCGCUCAACGGAUAAAAGGUACUCCGGGGAUAACAGGCUGAUACCGCCCAAGAGUUCAUAUCGACGGCGGUGUUUGGCACCUCGAUGUCGGCUCAUCACAUCCUGGGGCUGAAGUAGGUCCCAAGGGUAUGGCUGUUCGCCAUUUAAAGUGGUACGCGAGCUGGGUUUAGAACGUCGUGAGACAGUUCGGUCCCUAUCUGCCGUGGGCGCUGGAGAACUGAGGGGGGCUGCUCCUAGUACGAGAGGACCGGAGUGGACGCAUCACUGGUGUUCGGGUUGUCAUGCCAAUGGCACUGCCCGGUAGCUAAAUGCGGAAGAGAUAAGUGCUGAAAGCAUCUAAGCACGAAACUUGCCCCGAGAUGAGUUCUCCCUGACUCCUUGAGAGUCCUGAAGGAACGUUGAAGACGACGACGUUGAUAGGCCGGGUGUGUAAGCGCAGCGAUGCGUUGAGCUAACCGGUACUAAUGAACCGUGAGGCUUAACCUU
rnacentral:rRNA from 1 species